rnacentral:rRNA from 1 species
UACGUAGGGUGCAAGCGUUAAUCGGAAUUACUGGGCGUAAAGCGUGCGCAGGCGGUUUUGUAAGUCUGUCGUGAAAGCCCCGGGCUUAACCUGGGAAUUGCGAUGGAGACUGCAAGGCUUGAAUCUGGCAGAGGGGGGUAGAAUUCCACGUGUAGCAGUGAAAUGCGUAGAGAUGUGGAGGAACACCGAUGGCGAAGGCAGCCCCCUGGGUCAAGAUUGACGCUCGUGCACGAAAGCGUGGGGAGCAAACAGG